rnacentral:rRNA from 1 species
UACAGAGGGUGCGAGCGUUGUUCGGAAUCAUUGGGCGUAAAGCGCUUGUAGGCGGCCUGUCAAGUCGCGUGUGAAAUCCCUUGGCUUAACCAAGGAAGUGCGCGCGAAACUGGCGGGCUUGAGUGCCGGAGAGGGUCGCGGAAUUCCCGGUGUAGAGGUGAAAUUCGUAGAUAUCGGGAGGAACACCAGUGGCGAAGGCGGCGAUCUGGGAAGAUACUGACGCUGAGGUGCGAAAGCGUGGGGAGCAAACAGG